GACGAUCAAGGACUGGGGUGCUAUAGUAUGCCUUGAAUUGCGGGGGCAUUUCAAGCCUCUGGCUUCGGGUGGCGUGUGCGGAGCCGUGGGGAUGCAGCCAG
rnacentral:lncRNA from 1 species